rnacentral:rRNA from 1 species
GGGGAAUUUUGCGCAAUGGGGGAAACCCUGACGCAGCAACGCCGCGUGCGGGAUGAAGGCCCUAGGGUUGUAAACCGCUUUCAGCAGGGAAGAAACAUGACGGUACCUGCAGAAGAAGCUCCGGCUAACUACGUGCCAGCAGCCGCGGUAAUACGUAGGGAGCGAGCGUUAUCCGGAUUCAUUGGGCGUAAAGCGCGCGUAGGCGGCUGGCCAAGCGGGAUCUCAAAUCCGGGGGCUCAACCUCCGGCCGGAUCCCGAACUGGCCGGCUCGAGUUCGGUAGAGGAAGACGGAAUUCCCAGUGUAGCGGUGAAAUGCGCAGAUAUUGGGAAGAACACCGAUGGCGAAGGCAGUCUUCUGGGCCGCGACUGACGCUGAGGUGCGAAAGCCGGGGGAGCGAAC